rnacentral:rRNA from 1 species
GAUGAACGCUGGCGGCGUGCUUAACACAUGCAAGUCGAACGGAAAGGCCCAAGCUUGCUUGGGUACUCGAGUGGCGAACGGGUGAGUAACACGUGGGUGAUCUGCCCUGCACUUCGGGAUAAGCCUGGGAAACUGGGUCUAAUACCGGAUAGGACGAUGGUUUGGAUGCCAUUGUGGAAAGUUUUUUCGGUGUGGGAUGAGCUCGCGGCCUAUCAGCUUGUUGGUGGGGUAAUGGCCUACCAAGGCGUCGACGGGUAGCCGGCCUGAGGGGGUGUACGGCCACAUUGGGACUGAGGUACGGCCCCGACGCCUACGGGUGGCAGCAGUGGGGAAUCUUGCACAAUGGGCGCAAGCCUGAUGCAGCGACGCCGCGUGGGGGAUGACGGCCUUCGGGUUGUAAACUCCUUUCGCUAGGGACGAAGCGUUUUUGUGCCGGUACCUGGAGAAGAAGCACCGGCUACCUCCGG